rnacentral:lncRNA from 1 species
UAAAUCCAAUAAUUGCUACCAGGGAAAAAAAGGCAUGUCUGCCGUUCGCUCUCCAAAUUGAUUACAACGCAACAAAACAAGGCUCUCUGAAGGGAAGUGAAAGAAAGAUUUGGAAGCUGGAGGAAUUUGAAACGCUCCGUUUUGGGCACGUAACCUAAUCUGGUGAGAUGAGGGAGGCAAGCAGUGUGGAAGGGGACAAGGCACCCUGCGGCGCAGAGGGGAUGGAGCUGCACGUGCUUCAGGGCGAUUUCUUCUAAAGAAAGAGAGUCUUUAUCUGUUUGAAAAUGAGCUGCAUGCUCCAGUGGCUUAGCCUUUCCCCUCACACACGUGUGGCUCCAUGGUCUUUCUUGAAGCUAUUUGCAGUUUAUAUCAGGGAAGGAAAGUAGAUAAUCGAGCCCCUUAAGCUUAGCUUUGUGAUCUAGGUUUGUGCAUAUGUAAGAAACAAAGGAACCAGACUGCGAUUCUUGUUCCCUAACUCUCCGGCAGGAUAAACUUGCUCUGGGACACUUGAAACUGGCCGGACGUUAACGAACAGAAAAGAGCCAUGCCAGAGUAUUGCUGGUAAUACACCAAAACUACACAGUUUUGUGUUUCAUUCCGAAAGCUUCCUGGAGCUCCAGCUGAAUAUAAGGAGCUAAACCAGGCCAGCAGUUGCAGUGCAGAUCUCUGAGAUGAAAUCCAACCCUGACGGCAAGUACAGCCCAAUGGGCGGCAGAAAAAAUCAACAGUAGAGAAGAAGGAUUCCACUAGAAAGUGUGCUGAUAUCCGUGUUCUGCUGAAAGACCCACCAACCCUGUCUUCCUCGUUAAAAAUCCAAAAGAGUAACGAGCUGAAGUGUCUUCAGCCCGUGUGCCUGCCUUCGUCCCCGGCACUGUGCCACCACCCUGGCUGAGGGAGGAUCAGCCCUCGCAUCCGGAGCCCUGGAGGAGAACCUGCCACAACACUGCUUCCUUUUCUGCCGUGCAGUGUGGAUCAAACACGACCAAACCGCGUUGGGUUACGGUCCAGAAGCGCUUCAGAGAAGAGCUAGAGAACAGGAAAAGAAGUGUAGGUGCCGUGCGGUGGCGUAGCCACAGCCCCGGGCGCCCGUCUCGGCGAGGAAGCGGCUGGAGAUGGCUUGGUCCGGUCAGGAGCUCCAGCUCAAAGGGACCGACUGGCCGAAGCGGGGCGGGCUGCGGAGGUGCCGUCUCUGCCAAGGUUUCCGAUGUUCCUGCUAUACUCCGAUGAAACAUUAUACAGAAAGAUAUAGGCAAAGCAUUAUGCUCACAGCCUUUGCCAACAAGUUAUGUUUUAAUGUAAUUUAACUGUAAUCUCAGAGUGUUUUUGUUAGCUAUAAUUAGUAAAAUAUGUCUGUUUUCUGUGUUCCUUGAAGACGUCUGAACUCCUGCCAGUUCCCUAUAGUUUUCCUGACAUGCAGCGUAACAAGCAGACCACCAAAAUGUAUUUACCAAUAACUGUUUAUUUACAUUCCGUGAAAUCUAAUAACAUUUGCUGCCUUCAUUCGGGAUAAAUGCUGGCCAAUGUGUAAAGCAUAAAAAAAAUAAACAUUGACUUAAUUUCUA